rnacentral:rRNA from 1 species
CCUACGGGAGGCUGCAGUGGGGGAUAUUGGACAAUGGGGGGAACCCUGAUCCAGCGACGCCGCGUGAGUGAAGAAGUAUUUCGGUAUGUAAAGCUCUGUCAGCAGGGAAGAAAGAAAUGACGGUACCUGACCAAGAAGCCCCGGCUAACUACGUGCCAGCAGCCGCGGGAAUACGUAGGGGGCAAGCGUUAUCCGGAAUUACUGGGUGUAAAGGGAGCGUAGACGGUUAAGUAAGUCUGGAGUGAAAGGCCGGGGCCCAACCCCGGGACUGCUCUGGAAACUAUUGAACUUGAGUGCAGGAGAGGUAAGCGGAAUUCCUAGUGUAGCGGUGAAAUGCGUAGAUAUUAGGAGGAACACCAGUGGCGAAGGCGGCUUACUGGACUGUAACUGACGUUGAGGCUCGAAAGCGUGGGGAGCAAACAGGAUUAGAUACCCUUGUAGUC